rnacentral:rRNA from 1 species
UAUCACUCCUACGGGAGGCAGCAGUGGGGGAAUAUUGCACAAUGGGGGGAAAACCCCUGAUGCAGCCAUGCCGCGUGUGUGAAGAAGGCCUUCGGGUUGUAAAGCACUUUCAGUAGGGAGGAAGGUAGUGUAGUUAACACCUGCACUAUUUGACGUUACCUACAGAAGAAGCACCGGCUAACUCCGUGCCAGCAGCCGCGGUAAUACGGAGGGUGCGAGCGUUAAUCGGAAUUACUGGGCGUAAAGCGCAUGCAGGCGGCCUGUUAAGUCAGAUGUGAAAGCCCGGGGCUUAACCUCGGAAUUGCAUUUGAAACUGGCAGGCUAGAGUCUUGUAGAGGGGGUAGAAUUUCAGGUGUAGCGGUGAAAUGCGUAGAGAUCUGAAGGAAUACCAGUGGCGAAGGCGGCCCCCUGGACAAAGACUGACGCUCAGAUGCGAAAGCGUGGGGAGCAAACAGGAUUAGAUACCCCUGGUAG